GUGGUGUCAAUUAGUUGACGCCAUUUGUUUGGUUCUUGUUCCCUUUGCUCUCAAGUUUGUUGAGAAUUAGUUACAAUAAUCUUUUGGUUGUUGUUCUUCUUGAUUAGUUGAAGGAUCAAAAAAGAGUUCUUGAUUUCUUCAAGAAUCAAGAAAGAAAGAUUAAAAGGGUCAUCAAAGGGGUUCUGUUUCGAUCCAAGUUUGGUUUAAGCCUAUUCAGACUUUGAGUUUAAGUAAAUUGUAUCAAGAGAAGCCUAUCCA
rnacentral:lncRNA from 1 species